rnacentral:lncRNA from 1 species
CUAGCUGCCUCUGCAGUUAGAUCUAAGACCUCUGUGAUAUCCUCAUGCGGUUGGAGAUGGGCUAAAGCUAAUACUUGCCCCUGCAAGUCUAAUACUCUGCCUGUCAAUCUCAAAAUACAUCCCUCAAGUUGCUCAAUACGUACCGACUGAUCAGUAAGCAUCUGAAAAAUAGAAGAAAUAUGAGAAAUCAGAGUCUGGUCUGAGUCACCCUGGGAUGUCGAUCUCUGAGCAAAGACUGAAGUGGCAAACUACUGAGAUAGAAUGAAGGCAACAGUUGGGACAUCAUCUCAAUCU